rnacentral:rRNA from 1 species
GACGAACGCUGGCGGCGUGCCUAAUACAUGCAAGUCGAGCGCAGGAAACUGACGGAACUCUUCGGAGGGAAGGCAGUGGAAUGAGCGGCGGACGGGUGAGUAACACGUAAGGAACCUGCCUCAAGGAUUGGGAUAACUCCGAGAAAUCGGAGCUAAUACCGGAUAGUUCAUCGGACCGCAUGGUCCGCUGAUGAAAGGCGCUCCGGCGUCACCUUGAGAUGGCCUUGCGGUGCAUUAGCUAGUUGGUGGGGUAACGGCCCACCAAGGCGACGAGGCAUAGCCGACCUGAGAGGGUGAUCGGCCACACGGGGACUGAGACACGGCCCAGACUCCUACGGGAGGCAGCAGUAGGGAAUCUUCCACAAUGGACGAAAGUCUGAUGGAGCAACGCCGCGUGAGUGAUGAAGGUUUUCGGAUCGUAAAACUCUGUUGUAAGGGAAGAACACGUACGAGAGGGAAUGCUCGUACCUUGACGGUACCUUACGAGAAAGCCACGGCUAACUAUGUGCCAGCCGCCGCGGUAA